CAUACCUAUUCGAAGGGAUAGGGUCGGUUCGGCCGGGUUUCACACAGGUGUUGCAUGGCUGUCGUCAGCUCGUGUCGUGAGAUGUUGGGUUAAGUCCCGCAACGAACGCAACCCUCAUCCUUAGUUACCAUCAGGUAACGCUGGGGACUUUGAGGAAACUGCCAGUGAUAAACUGGAGGAAGGUGGGGAUGAUGUCAAGUCAUCAUGGCCCUUAUGGAGUGGGCUACACACGUGCUACAAUGGUGAUUACAAUGGGCUGCAAGGUCGCAAGGCUGAGCUAAUCCUAAAAAAUCAUCUCAGUUCGGAUUGUUCUCUGCAACCCGAGAGCAUGAAGUUGGAAUUGCUAGUAAUCGUGGAUCAGCAUGCCACGGUGAAUACGUUCUCGGGUCUUGUACACACUGCCCGUCACGCCAUGGGAAUUGGUUUCACUCGAAGCU
rnacentral:rRNA from 1 species